rnacentral:rRNA from 1 species
AUGGUGCGGUUGGAUUCAAUUUUAAAAAAAAAUGGGACUGUUAGUAUCAAGCUGAAUAAUGAAACGUGCCCUUAUUUCCAGAGUUGUAAAGGGGUGCGGCAGGGAGACCCACACUCGCCUUUUCUGUUCAAUAUGGUUGUAGAAGCUUUGUCCAAAAUGAUUCGCAAUGCUCAAGCAGAAGGGCUGCUGACUGGUCUUGCCCCAGACCUGGUUAGUGGGGGUAUUGCUAUUCUGCAAUAUGCCGAUGACACUGUCAUCUGCCUUGAACAUAAUAGAGAGGCUGCUAUUAAUCUCAAACUGCUUCUUUACAUUUUUGAAAUCAUGUCGGGGCUGAAAAUAAAUUUCCUUAAGAGUGAGAUUCUUUGUGUAGGAGGAGAUGAUGACCUGUUAACCUUCUAUUUUGAUCUGUUUAAUUGUCAGAUAGGGCACUUUCCUAUGAAAUAUUUGGGAGUGCCUGUAAGUUUCUCCACCCUUCGAGCUCUUGACUGGAGUUUUGUAGAUGAUAAGUUCCUUAAAUGUUGUGAGUCCUGGAUGGGUAAUGCGGCUUCCUCGGGGGGGAGGCUGACUCUCCUUAACUCUUCCCUUACUAGCAUCAUUUACUAUUACAUGUCGAUGUUCAUGCUCCCUAAAAAGGUCAUUGAGAGGUUG